GCGCCAAAUUAGACAUUUCAUUAAAAUUGUUUAAAUUCUAAACAAAUUUGGCAUAUUUAAGUCUUUGAUAGACUAUUUUCAAGAUUAAUUUGAAGUGACAUCAUCCAUUUAAACAAUGAAGUCCAUGACUGCUAUUAGACUAUUUUCCCAACAAAUAUGGCUUAUGUAAGAUUCUAAUCCAUCUGUCACUCACAAGUCGAUAAAUAUGCCAUGUUAAUUUUCUACCCUUACAAAAACACCCUUUCAAUCAUCCUUACUUUUACAACUUUCUAAGGUUGUAAAAGCUUCCAUAAUUUUUAAUCCUAUAUUUCAUAACUAUAGAUUAAAGGAAUCCAUAGAUUAAGAGCAAAAACUGUUCACCAUCUCUUAUAACAAGCUGAACAUACUAAUUUAUAGGGAAUAUGAAAUUAACAUAUUUUUGCCUUUUAAAAAGUACAUAGUACUCUGUG
rnacentral:misc_RNA from 1 species